AUCCAUCUGAUGAGUUCGAAAUGGGACGAAACGCGCGUUCUGAAU
rnacentral:hammerhead_ribozyme from 1 species